AUGAACGCUAGCGACAGGCUUAACACAUGCAAGUCGAGGGGUAACAGGGUAGCAAUACCGCUGACGACCGGCGCACGGGUGAGUAACGCGUAUGCAACCUGCCUAUAACUGGGGAAUAGCUCCCUGAAAGGGGGAAUUAACACCGCAUAACACUAUUGAUUCGCAUGGAUUGGUAGUUAAAUGUAGCGAUACAGGUUAUAGAUGGGCAUGCGUGACAUUAGCUAGUUGGUGAGGUAACGGCUCACCAAGGCUACGAUGUCUAGGGGUUCUGAGAGGAAGGUCCCCCACACUGGUACUGAGACACGGACCAGACUCCUACGGGAGGCAGCAGUGAGGAAUAUUGGUCAAUGGGCGCAAGCCUGAACCAGCCAUGUCGCGUGCAGGAAGAACCUGCCCUAUGGGUUGUAAACUGCUUUUAUAGUAGAAGAAACACAUCUACGUGUAGAUGUCUGCCAGUAUACUAUGAAUAAGCAUCGGCUAACUCCGUGCCAGCCGCCGC
rnacentral:rRNA from 1 species